rnacentral:tRNA from 1 species
GCUUCCUUAGCUCAGUUGGUAGAGCAGUUGACUCUUAAUCAAUUGGUCGGGGGUUCGAGUCCCCCAGGAAGCACCA